rnacentral:misc_RNA from 1 species
CAGAGGAAUUGCCCUUCGGGGUAGAUCUCCCACCCUAUGCUUACAUAUACCUUUGUUGCUUUGGCAGGCCCGUCAUUUGACCCCCGGCUUAGGCUGGUCCGUUGCCUGCCAGAGGACCCCUAAACCCUUGAUUUUUUUGUGUUGUCAGAGUAAUUUUAUAAGUUA